rnacentral:tRNA from 1 species
GGGGCCUUAGCUCAGCUGGGAGAGCGCUACGCUGGCAGCGUAGAGGUCAUCGGUUCGAUCCCGAUAGGCUCCA